UACGUAGGGUGCAAGCGUUAAUCGGAAUUACUGGGCGUAAAGCGUGCGCAGGCGGUUUUGUAAGUUUGUCGUGAAAGCCCCGGGCUCAACCUGGGAAUUGCGAUGAAGACUGCAAGGCUUGAAUCUGGCAGAGGGGGGUAGAAUUCCACGUGUAGCAGUGAAAUGCGUAGAGAUGUGGAGGUACACCGAUGGCGAAGGCAGCCCCCUGGGUCAAGAUUGACGCUCAUGCACGAAAGCGUGGGGAGCAAACAGG
rnacentral:rRNA from 1 species